CAGCCGCCGCGGGAAUACGAAGGGGGCUAGCGUUGCUCGGAAUCACUGGGCGUAAAGGGUGCGUAGGCGGGUCUUUAAGUCAGGCGUGAAAUCCUGGAGCUCAACUCCAGAACUGCCUUUGAUACUGAAGAUCUUGAGUUCGGGAGAGGUGAGUGGAACUGCGAGUGUAGAGGUGAAAUUCGUAGAUAUUCGCAAGAACACCAGUGGCGAAGGCGGCUCACUGGCCCGAUACUGACGCUGAGGCACGAAAGCGUGGGGAGCAAACAGGAUUAGAUACCCGUGUAGUCCCUGUCUCUUAUAC
rnacentral:rRNA from 1 species